rnacentral:rRNA from 1 species
UUCCUACGGGACGCAGCAGUGAGGAAUAUUGGUCAAUGGGCGCGAGCCUGAACCAGCCAAGUCGCGUGAGGGAAGACGGUCCUAUGGAUUGUAAACCUCUUUUGUCGGGGAGCAAAAGACGCCACGCGUGGCGUUCCGAGAGUACCCGAAGAAAAAGCAUCGGCUAACUCCGUGCCAGCAGCCGCGGUAAUACGUAGGUGGCGAGCGUUAUCCGGAAUGAUUGGGCGUAAAGGGUGCGUAGGCGGCCUGCUAAGUCUGGAGUGAAAGGUACCGGCUCAACCGGUACAGGCUCUGGAAACUGGCGG